GGUCCCGUAGCUCAGUUGGUUAGAGCGUGGUGCUAAUAACGCCAAGGUCGCGAGUUCGACCCUCGUCGGGACCA